rfam:Erinaceus europaeus unplaced genomic scaffold scaffold00839, whole genome shotgun sequence
GUGCUCAUUUCAGCAGCACAUAUACUAAAAUUGCAAAGAUAUAGAGAAGAUUAGUAUGGCCCCUGUGCAAGGAUGGCAUGUGAAUUCAUGAAGAUUUCCAUGUUUUU